ACGACACCUCCCGAUUCCUCAGAGAGGGUAAGGGGAAGAAAAAAAUGCUGAUGUUUUGGGCUUGGGAGGGAAGCCGGUAGUCAGUCAACAAACAUUUGGAACAGUCUCGCGUCUGGUUGAAAGUAAUUUAACUGUAUUUUGUCAGCCAAGGAGAAUGAAACAAAAGAUGAACAGAAUGAAUGGAUUUAUCAAAAUGGGAGGAAGUCAAACAUUCCUUGGAAAGAAUUCAUCUUUUUAAAUAAAAAAGAUAUCAGGAGUGACUUACCAGAAAGUACGGUAUUGGCAUACAAAUCUUUACGAAUGUCCACAUCACAUUUCAUAAUAGAGUUGUAAGUGGUUUCAUGGAUGCCACAGGACUCCAUACCCAAGAAUGAAGGCUGGAAGAGGGCUUCUGGGCAACGGAACCUCUCGUUACCAAUGGUGAUUACCUGUCCAUCGGGCAAUUCAUAAGACUUUUCUAAAGAGGAAGAUGAAGCAGCAGUGGCCAUCUCCUGCUCAAAGUCCAGGGCGACAUAACAUAACUUCUCCUUGAUGUCUCGGACAAUUUCUCU